GGUGGGUUGCUGGGAGAAGCCAAAGUGAGAGCUGUCAACCAGGAAGCCAGCAUAAGCCUUGGGUGGGAAGAAAAGAGGCAUGCCAUGAGCAGUCAGUAUGGACAGACCACAGGCUGGCUGCCUGCUGCCUUGGAAAGUCACGGGCUGUGCACCUGCAAGGUACUGGUAAGGGAUCCAUGGAUCUAUAGCAGUAUUACCUCAUACUUAAUUUCCCAGCAUCUUUACUUUUUGGAAAAUAGAAUAUAUUAUCGUAUCUCCAAGCAUACAGAGGGCUUAUCUUUGAAAUGUUCCUUUGCUGUCAGAAGAACAGGCUCAGAAUGGGGAGAAGGAUUCACUGAUACUGCCAGUAUUUCUGACAUUUGCGACUGAAAUGAGGGAAACUGAGACACAGAGAGGUGAGAUUACCUGUCUUAACAUUGACAGCAGCUCAGCAACAGAAGCGAGAACAGAUCCUGCAUCUUCAGACUGGCCUAUCCAACACUUGACUUGCUUAUUUCAAAGUGGAAAUUUGCAUCAUUUAUUGGUGUACCCCUGAACUGUUCACACAGAUGUGAUUAGUUGUUCAUUAAUGGGCUAAAAUUACCACAGGAACUGAGCCACUGAGGAUGCAAUUCACCCAAGGUCACCCUGGAAGCCUCUGGCAGAGGCAUAUGGGAACCCAGGUAUUCCAAGUUACAAUGAACACCAUCAUUUUUGCCCAUUUCCAGUAUCCUGACAACAGUAAUGGGUAUCAGCAGAGUAAACACUGACUUUAUAGCCUUCACAUAUGCCUUACAGUCUGGCUAAUAUCCAGGAAGGUGCUCCUCACAUAGGCAAACUCAGCUAUCUGCAUACUGUACAAAUAUACAAUAGCAAAAAACCCUAAAGGUUUGCAAGCCCAGAGCUUGAAACCUUGAUCUCUUUUUUCAUGUCUUCAUUUCCCAGUAUUUUUUCUUAGUAUAUGUCAGCAAAAGCUCUGAAUUUCACAGUUAUCUACACUUAUUUUUUAUGUAAUGUUGUGGUCUGUGUCAAUAAAACUCAAUUUUGCUACUAUUACAACUA